UAAUGUCUAAAUACUGUAUGCUGUUAAUAGUUUCCUCAUUCAUUUUUCCAGUCUGGAACAGUGAGCAAACCAGACAUCAUAGGAGCAGCUGAUCACACAAUCUGGUGGAAAGCUGUUGAGCUGCAUCUGUUUCUAUAGCACUGGUUUACUUCAUAUUGAGUGAUGGUGGAGACGGGCUUUGAAAGGCCGGCGGAACGCCAGACUGGGAGAGAGAGUUCGAGUCACACACAUGCACAACCCCAGCUGGAGCUAAAUGCUAGCAGUGCCUGAGUACUGGAGACGUGGAAAACCAUCCGGCGCUGGGUCAACUGGAAGGACCGCGGUUCCUCUCCAGAGUUGGAGGGGAGUAAGCACAAGCUGAAUAGGUCCCCAGCCUGAAUCGGGCGAUGGGGGAGUGUGGCAGGCCAGGCGGGGCAGAGCGAGGAUGGAGAGGAGCAAGGCCGAGAUAUACACCUGGGGCGAAUGAUCUCGUCCAGCUGUGAGUGAUGAUGCGUAGUAGGCGGGGGAUAAAGCCAGGAGCAGAGCUGCAGUCGGGAGAGAGACACCGAGAGAGAGAGACACGUUGAAACUGUUUGUGUUUAUGUCGCUAUGUUUUCAGUUUGAUGUGGUGUCUGAUUAAAGUUCGUUGAAUGUGCAUCCGGCUCCAGCUUCCACCUUUCCGUCUUUCACAAUGCUUAAUUGAAUCAGUAAGGAAGGGUAGGUCAAAUAAUGACAUUUUUUUACAUUCAGCCUGUUCUAAUUGUAACCAUUGGUUGUAGAGAUGAUUGCCAUUUAUCCAUUUGCAAAGAUUCUCUCAUUGUGCUGCUUAGUAGUUAUAAUGAAAAUUAGGUGCCCCUAAUCCUCCCAUGUCCUUCCUUUUUUAAAGUGUGUUUAGAAUUUUUCUAGGGUUCUUAUUUUUUCAAUAAAAUGAUUUAUUUAUGUAAUGUGCCAAACCAUUUUUUAGUGGGUUCAUUCAGAAUCAUUGUGAACAGGUAGUUUAAUUUUGGUAAUAUUAACAUUUUUACUGUAGUGAUUUGUCCUAUGAGAAAGUAUUGUUUUUAGUAAUGGAGUAAAAUUGAAAUUAAAUAAAUCCAAUAGGUGGGGGAGAUGUGUAUUCCUCGAUAGGUGAUAUUGCCUAUGCUAAAUGGAGUGUUCUGUAGUCCUAUGUCCUGAGGUUUUUUAUUUGUUGAUAAAAUUGUAG